rnacentral:tRNA from 1 species
GACACAGUGGCUCAGUGGUUAGCACUGUUGCCUCACAGCAAGAGGGUCGCUGGUUUAAGUCCCGUCUGUGUCA